rnacentral:misc_RNA from 1 species
UCCGGCUUAUCACCGGCAGUCCCUCUAGAGUGCCCAACUCAAUGCUGGCAACUAAAGGCGAGGGUUGCGCUCGUUGCGGGACUUAACCCAACAUCUCACGACACGAGCUGACGACAGCCAUGCAGCACCUGUGUUCCCGCCAGCCGAACUGAAGGAUGCCGUCUCCGGCACCCAUACGGGACAUGUCAAGGGCUGGUAAGGUGGGGAUGACGUCUCUAGGAGGGUG